UUGAAAAGUUGAAGGACCUUUUUUUGGUUCUUUGGCGCACCCAUCGAUGUGCCUAAUUUGUGGUUGUCCUAAACCAAUUCGAGAAGGGAUAUUAUGUCCGAUACAAGGGUGGGUCUACAAUAAACAAUAACACAGUAUGCGAGUUAUGAAGAAGAAAAGGUGAGAGAAGGGAAUGCUAGUUUCAAUCAAGCGUAUAUCCAAGGUAGGCUCCUAAACUAGCACAGUGUAAA
rnacentral:sRNA from 1 species